rnacentral:rRNA from 1 species
AACGAACGCUGGCGGCGCGCUUAACACAUGCAAGUCGAACGAGAAGGCGUAGCAAUACGCUUGUACAGUGGCGAACGGGUGAGGAAUACAUGGGUAACCUACCCUCGAGUGGGGGAUAACCCGCCCGAAGGACGGGCGUAUAACGCGUACGCUUCCGAUCUUGCGGGAUUGGAAGGAAAGCUGUCCCUUCGGGGAUGGCGCUCAAGGAUGGGCUCAUGUCCUAUCAGCUUGUUGGAGGGUAACGGCCUACCAA